rnacentral:misc_RNA from 1 species
UGCUUGUAACUACCAUAUUCGGCAGGGGUAACGACCUACACACCCACUCACCUGCGCUUGCCGCUUUCGUACUCGUCCAGCUUUGCCCGCCUCGCUGCCUCUGUCCCCACCUCCUUCGUUGCGACGCCUUUUUUUGUGGUUGGUCCGCUUCCUGGUGCUCCUCAGACGACUUGGUGCGUGGACUCGCGCCUCUUUUUUUCCUUUUUUUUCUUCUGGCCUCACUGUAUUCUCCGUUUGGUGACUGCGUGUAGGCGUGUGUGAGCCGCUCUCCGCUUUUCUUUUGUACCACCCCCUCCCCCUCCUCACUUCAUAUGUCGCUCCGCCUGAUUCUGUGCCUCUGCCUCUGCCCCGCUUCGCUGCCACACGUCUCUCCGCGUACGCCGGCUUCGUGUGCGUUGGCUCGCUUUGUUUUCCAUCGUUCGCUUGCCGUUCUUUCUGCCCCACUCCCCUCUUUUUUUCUCUUGUUGUGUGUGUCUGUGUGUGAGUGUGCGUGUGCGUGCGCGUUACACAGUUGCUAUCCGAGCUGGCUUCCCUCGGUGCCGUAUCUGCCAACGGAAGUGUCGUUCCUCUCUUUCCGCUUUUCCUUUGCUUCUCCCUUCACCUCCUCUACCUCUUCGUAGUCGUCUACCCUCCCGCAGCCAACGAUGCACGCUGGAGCUGCCGCCGAGGCCGCCAUGCCGCCUAUCGCGACGCUGUCAAGCCGCGUCGUGCGCAUCAUGGGACUCAACCCGGGCUACAUGACGCUGCAGGGAAGCAACACGUACCUCGUCGGCACUGGACAGGAGCGGCUGCUGAUCGACUCCGGCGAAGGCGUGGAGGGCUACGGCCACCUUUUGCAGAAGGCGGUCGACGAGGAAUCGACUCGACUCGGCGGGCCCGUUCUCAUUUCGAAACUGCUGCUCACCCACUGGCACAGGGACCACAUCGGUGGCGUGGAGACGGUGCGUCGCCUCUUUCCACAGGUGCAGUUACUGAAGCAGCCGUCGCAGUACGUCCACACCGAAGUGGAUGCCUUGUGCCAAGUUCCACCUGAGGUCGUCAAGGUAGAGGGCGCCACGCUUCAACUGCUUCACACGCCCGGCCACACCGACGAUCACCUGUGCGCGUUUUUGCAGGAGGAGCGCGCGCUUUUCACAAGUGACACUGUCCUGGGCACUGGGACGUCCGUGUUUUCCAGCUUCAAGGACUACAUGAACUCUUUGCACGUGCUCGAGAGGAUGAAGCCAAAGCGGCUCUACCCGGCGCAUGGCCCCGUCGUCGAGGACGGCACCGCACGAAUCGAGGAGAUCAUCCAGCACCGUAACACGCGUGAGAAGCAGAUUCUCCAGGUGCUGUGUGAGCGCACGCACGGAGUCGCCGCCCUGGACAGUGAAAAGGGCCUCACCGUUCGCGAGCUGGUCGAUAUCAUCUACACUACUAUCCCCGCUGCGCUGAAGACUGCCGCUGGCUCCAACGUUUUCCACCACGUGAAGAAACUACUGAAUGAGGGGAGGGUGGUGGUGCGGUACGCGCCUGCGGAUCUUGUUCACUUCUUGAAGGAUGCCACAGACUACACCGUUUUCGGAGAGGGGGCAGAUGCCGAUGUGAAGGUGAUAGAGCGCAUCUUGACAGAGUUUCGCGUGGCGGCUGCGGGGGUCUCUUCCGGAGCGCCAUAAUCUCACGUCUUUUCAACCGCGUGCUUUUAGAUGGGGAGCAGCAGAAUCUUCCUCUUCCUCCUUUCCCGCACAUGCGAGCCGCUGCCGUGCAGGAUCUCCUGAGUAGAGAGGAGCAUGGGCAGGUCUUCGCCCACCCAGUCCAGGGUGCAUGGUUUCUGCCUUGCUUCUCUUUCUUGUGUGGCGUGUCUCUCUUGCUGCCUUUCACAUUUCUGCCCUGUGCCGAUGCCACCCUCAACGCCCCACCCCACCAUCCUACGUGAUGGGGGGAGACGUGGGAAACAAAAUGCUCGUGCAUGUGUCUGUGUGUGCGUGCCUGUUGGAAGGAGGAGGAGGAGGGCGGGGGAGCGACGACAAGAGGCGUGCAGGUGACAGCAGCACUGCAGUGGCACGUUCACGCGUGUGCUGACGCAUCUUGCCCGCGCUCUUGCUCUUGAGCUUCACGUUGGCCGGACCCCCAUCGUGAGGUGGAACCGACAACAGGGCACGCAGGGGACUCGUGUAACGGAUGGCGGCAAAGAGACGUAGCCGGCCACAGCGCUGAGGCUCCGCAUGGCGAGAAAAGAGGAAAAAGAGCGGCGCGCACAGCUGCACUAAUCCACGUCGUUGCGUGUCUCUGUAGGAACGCUGCCGCAGCGCCCCCUUCUCGCUGCUUGCGGCUCUGCAGCAGCCAAAGAGGAGAGAAAGAACCACGAUGUGCUUUCCUGCUGCGAUGCUCAAGACUGCGUAGGUGGAUGCGUCUGAGGCCCUGACGCGCUCUUCCUUAGAUUUCCUUCAGAGUACGUGCCAUGGUGUAGGUGGGCGGAGGCCUGUGUCUUUGCUGCUUCUCUGGCUGCACGCACGUGGGAUCUGUGUGCGUGUGCGGGACGCAUCUGCCACUUCGCCCCGCCUCCCCCUCCCUCCCUCAACACCACUGUACAUAUUCACGAAU